CGUAUGAAAGGUUGGACGAAAUAAAAACUGUCUUUAUUUAAAUUAUUUUAGAAUUUAAUUUUUAAGUUAAAAAGCUUAAAUGUUAAUAAAAGACGAGAAGACCCUAUAGAGUUUUAUAUUUUUUUAUAUUUAAUUAAUUUAGAAUUGUUUAUUUUAUAUAUAAUAAAAUAUUUUAUUGGGGUAAUAUAAAGAUUAAAAUAAUUCUUUAUUUUUUAAUUUAUUAAUUUAUAUUAUUUAUUGAUCCAUUAAUAAUGAUUAUAAGUUUAAAUUACCUUAGGGAUAACAGCGUAAUUUUUUUAGAGAGUUCAUAUUGAUAAAAAAGUUUGCGACCUCGAUGUUGGAUUAAAGAUUAAUUUAGGUGCAAAAGUUUAAAUAAUUUGGUCUGUUCGACCAUUAAAUCUUUACAUGAUCUGAGUUCAGACCGGUGUGAGCCAGGUCGGUUUCUAUCUUUAUUAAGUUAAUAUAUUUUAGUACGAAAGGACCAAUUAUUAAUUAAAAUAAUUAUAUUUUGAAUAUUAUUAAAUUAUUUUGGCAGAUUAGUGCAAUGAAUUUAGAAUUCAUUU
rnacentral:rRNA from 1 species